GGGAGGCAGAGGGUGCUGGCGGUUGUUUGGUGCAGUUCUGCUGUCUCAAGGAGGACGGGAAAUUCUGGCCGGCGUGUUCAGUCGGGAGUUUGGUCCCCAGUUUUGGGAGGGAGCAGCAGAUCUCCUGCUGAAAGCCACUGGGGUGUGUUUGCAAACCCAGCUCAGGUCAAGGGGAAAGAAGAAGCCAGGAUACCUGCUGGACUGGAUCCCACUAAAGACACACAUCAGCAGCUCAGCUUCUGUGGCAGGGAGAGAGAGGAUCAUCCUGGGAUGAGGAUGGGCCAAGGAGACAAGGGUUUGACCAAAGGGGAGGCUGAAGAAUACUCUGACUAACUCAGAAAGGUAAAUUUAACUUUUUAUAUCUCAGCUCUUGUACCAGGCUGGGCCCAGAAGAGAAAUGAGUGGAACAGGAACUGCAGAAAAACACCCUGAGGAUUCCCCAGAGUGACCCUGCAGGAGGACAGACCUGCACCCCUGGGGGACAUCAGGACACCCGAGGCCAUGGGGGCUCAGUUUUUAGAGUUUACAUCCUUUUUAACCAUUCAAGAAUUCCUGGUGAUGGUUGUUGAGCUAAAAUCCUUAUUUAAAUUGGGGGAGCUUAAUUAAGAUUAAAUCUUUGUUUAAAGACAGGGGGAGAAAUCCAGUAGUCCCACAGAGUCAAAAUAUUUAAUGAUUGUGGUGUUACUGGAAUGAAAUAACACAGGGAGUUCCCAAAAAUCGGGUUUUAACACUUCCAUUAGGGUUCUAUUUUAACAGCAGCUUUAAAGAGCUUUAGGCAAUAAGUGGAAAAAAAUAAAAGCAAAGAAAGUGUUAAUGAAUCAUUAAGGCCACAUCUUAGAAUAGUCCUAAGUCAGAAAGUGUAAAAGUUCAAGGCUUGAUUAACCUCGUACUUCACAUACACAUAACUCUCCCUUUUUUCCAUGCAGUGUUUGCAUCUGAAUUAAUAUCCAGGGUUCAUUAUCUGGGCAGAGUUCUCUGCCUUCAGCCCAAAUGGUCCUGAACAGGUGAGGAAAGGGAACUCAGCAAACCAUAAUCAUUCAUCCAAAUUUCUUAAUCAAAGUUAAAGGAAUUUAUGAACUGAAAUAUGAAGAAUACAAGGGACAUAAAAUUCUAAUAUUAGACAGGAUGAGUUUUCCUUCUCUCUGUUUAUUGUACACCAUACACUGUUCACUGUUUAAUUUAUGAUUAACUUCAUUAUCUUCAUGCACUUAAAUGUUUGGAGACUCUGUUUAAGGGAACUUCUUAAUCAGUACCAAAUUAUAUCAAAUGCUCCUUAGAAUAUGGAACUGAACAUCAUGUUGAGAUUUAAAAACUGCAAAACUAAAAUUUAAAGAGAACAAAUCAUAGAACACUAUGGAUUACUAGAAGUUUUUAACACUCCAUCAGCUGUCAAGUAGUUUUUAAUUCUCACAACAGGAACAAGAGAGGUUUCAUUUUUGUUUAUAUUAUUUAGAAACAUUCCUCUUUUCUAUUUUUUUUUUAAUUUAGAGAGAACUUAAUUUUACAAGGUUAAAAUCUGAAUCAACUUGUUAAAAGAGGCACAUUAAUGUUUUCUUCCUCCUGGACCCUCAUGAACAGUAUCUGUACCAUGACCUAAAUGUACAAUUUUCUCUUUUUUUUUCCUUAUUUUGAGGAAGAGAAAGGCUUUAUUUGACAAAACAAGCGUCAGCUGAAAGCUGUGUCUGCUGCACCUCCCCCUGCCCUGCACUUGCCUUGUUUAUUCACUGGGGGGAAAUAUAAUUAGAGAAAAAAAAUGAAAAGUUUGGCCGGUGAAAAACACUUCCCACAGCCCCCAGAACUCCACGACAACCAGAAUUAUCAGGAUGUACCUUCAUGGACAGCCCCAGAGCAGGGCAACCAGGGAGACCAACUUUCCAGGAGUCUUCUCCAGCUCUGACCCCGCGGGAUCAAACCGGGCUCCACUUCCCGCUCCGGGAGACGCGUCCCAGCAAAGGACCCUUGGAAGUGCUUCCCAACUUAUCCCAGCCCACUGAGAACGGCUCCAGGAGCGGCUGAGGGGAGGGGGAAGAGGGAAAGCUUUUUUUCUUGGGGAAGGGUUGUGAAAUGCCCUUUCCUCCCGCGGGAGAAGCCGACGCUUGGCUCGGGGAGACACCUGGGGACGGGCAGGACGAGCUCCAAGCUGCUCCAGCGCUGGAAAAGCAGCAAAAACCUCGGCCUGGGACACCAAGACCUUCCUCAGCACCCCAAAUGCAGCACAACCUCAAGUCUCCUGGGAUGUCCAGCAGCUCCACAGCAAAAUACCGUGGAUUUAAGGGAAGAAACCACCUGCAGGAGCCU